rnacentral:tRNA from 1 species
GCCGGGGUGGUGAAAUUGGUAGACACAGCAGACUCAAAAUCUGCCGCUCGCAAGGGCAUGUCGGUUCGAGUCCGACCCUCGGCA